GUCCUAGCCGUAAACGGUGCACGUUUGCUGUAAAAGGAAUCGACCCCUUUUGUGGCGAAGCUAACGCGUUAAACGUGCCGCCUGGGAAGUACGGUCGCAAGAUUAAAACUCAAAGAAAUUGACGGGGGCCUGCACAAGCGGUGGAGUAUGUGGCUUAAUUCGAUGCAACGCGAAGAACCUUACCUGGCCUUGACAUGUAUCUAGUAGAAGGGUGAAAGCCUGACGAGGUAGCAAUACCAGGAUACACAGGUGCUGCAUGGCUGUCGU
rnacentral:rRNA from 1 species